GAUGAACGCUGGCGGCGUGCCUAAUACAUGCAAGUCGAGCGAACAGACGAGGAGCUUGCUCCUUUGACGUUAGCGGCGGACGGGUGAGUAACACGUGGAUAACCUACCUAUAAGACUGGGAUAACUUCGGGAAACCGGAGCUAAUACCGGAUAACAUGUUGAACCUCAUGGUUCAACAGUGUAAGACGGUCUUGCUGUCUCUUAUAGAUGGAUCCGCGCCGCAUUAGCUAGUUGGUAAGGUAACGGCUUACCAAGGCAACGAUGCGUAGCCGACCUGAGAGGGUGAUCGGCCACCCUGGAACUGAGACACGGUCAAGACUCCUACGGGAGGCAGCAGUAGGGAAUCUUCGGCAAUGGGCGAAAGCCUGACGGAGCAACGCCGCGUGAGUGAAGAAGGUCUUCGGAUCGUAAAACUCUGUUAUUAGGGAAGAACAAAUGUGUAAGUAACUAUGCACGUCUUGACGGUACCUAAUCAGAAAGCCACGGCUAACUACGUG
rnacentral:rRNA from 1 species